GAUGAAGAACGCAGCGAAAUGCGAUACGUAAUGUGAAUUGCAGAAUUCAGUGAAUCAUCGAAUCUUUGAACGCGUAUUGCGCUCUCUGGUAUUCCGGAGAGCAUGCUUGUUUGAGUAUCAGUAAACACCUCAACUCCCUUUUCUUAUUUGAAAUUGGAGCUGGACUUGAGUGAUCCCAACGCUUUCUUCCAAGAAAGUGGCGGGUUGCUUGAAAUGCAGGUGCAGCUGAACUUUUCUCUGAGCUAUAAGCAUAUCUAUUUAGUCUGCCUAAAAAACAGAUUAUUACCUUUGCUGCAGCUAACAUAAAGGAGACUAGUUCUUCUGCUGACUGAUGCAGGAUUCACAGAGACAGCUUCGGCUGACUUUGUAAACUCGAUCUCAAAUCAAGUAAGACUACCCGCUGAACUUAAGCAUAUCAAUAAGCGGAGGA
rnacentral:misc_RNA from 1 species